rnacentral:rRNA from 1 species
UCAAGCUACUAAGGGCAUACGGUGGAUGCCUUGGCACUAAGAGCCGAUGAAGGACGCGGUAAGCUGCGAAAAGCCACGGGGAACUGCAAGCAAGUCUUGAUCCGUGGAUGUCCGAAUGGGGAAACCCACCAUCCGUCAUGGGAUGGUAUCCUACGGGAGGGGAACCCGGUGAACUGAAACAUCUAAGUAGCCGGAGGAAGAGAAAUCAAACGAGAUGCCCACAGUAGCGGCGAGCGAAGAGGGCAGAGCCUAAACCAGUCAUCUUCGGAUGGUUGGGGUUACGGACCUGCAUCAACCGAGUCCUACCUAGUCGAAUUACCUGGAAAGGUAAGCCAGAGAGCGUAAGAGCCGCGUAGGUGAAAGGAAGGACGAGGGGGCAGGGAUCCAGAGUACCACGAAGCACGAGGAAUUUUGUGGGAAGUCGGGGGGACCACCCUCCAAGGCUAAACACUUCUUAGUGACCGAUAGCGCAUAGUACCGUGAGGGAAAGGUGAAAAGAACCGCGGGAGCGGAGUGAAAGAGAACCUGAAACCGUAUGUCUACAAGCAGUCGGAGCGCAAGCGACGGCGUGCCUAUUGAAGAAUGAGCCAACGAGUUACGGGCACCAGCGAGGUUAAGCAGGAAAUGCGGAGCCGGAGCGAAAGCGAGUCUAAACAGGGCGAAUAGUUGGUGUUCGUAGACCCGAAACUGUAGUGAUCUACCCAUGAUCAGGUUGAAGCGCAGGUAAAAAUGCGUGGAGGACCGAACCGGUGAGCGUUGAAAAGCUUUCGGAUGAAUCGUGGGUAGCGGUGAAAUUCCAAUCGAACGCAGAGAUAGCUGGUUCUCCUCGAAAUAGCUUUAGGGCUAGCCUCAAGCAGUAAGCAUAGGCGGUAGAGCACUGAUCGGGAUAGGGUCCGUAAAGGAUACCGAACCCUGUCAAACUACGAAUGGUUAUGCUGCAGAGCUUGGGAGUCAGACUACGAGAGAUAAGUCCCGUUGUCAAAAGGGAAACAGCCCAGACCGUCAGCUAAGGUCCCCAAUGCCAUACUAAGUGGAAAAGGAUGUGGGGUCUCAUAAACAACCAGGAUGUUGGCUCAGAAGCAGCCACCAUUUAAAGAGUGCGUAAUAGCUCACUGGUCGAGAGGCCCUGCGCCGAAGAUUCCCGGGGCUAAAGUAUGGAACCGAAGCUACGGAUGCGGUACUUGUACCGCGUGGUAGAGGAGCGUUCCCAUUGGGUUGAAGUCGUCCUGGAAGGGACGGUGGACUGGUGGGAAGUGAGAAUGUUGGCAUGAGUAGCGAAAAGAUAGGUGAGAAUCCUAUCCACCGAAAGCAUAAGGAUUCCUGAGCAACGAUCGUCGUCUCAGGGUAAGUCGGGACCUAAUCCGAGGCAUGGAGCGUAGGAGAUGGACAACUGGUUGAUAUUCCAGUACCGGCAGCAAUCGUUUGAACGAUGGAGUGACGCAGGAAGGCAGGUCCGCGCGAGAAUGGUAGAUCGCGUACAAGCGUGCAGGCUGGUGCACAGGCAAAUCCGUGUACUGAGGCUGAGGCGUGAUGUGGAGGGAACUUGUUCCCGAAGGGAUUGAGCCUACGCUGCCGAGAAAAGCUUCUAGUGAGAAAGCUGCCGCCCGUACCGUAAACCGACACAGGUAUGCGGGGAGAGAAUCCUAAGGUGCGCGGGAGAACCCUCGUUAAGGAACUCGGCAAAAUGUACCCGUAACUUCGGGAUAAGGGUAGCCACAGUGGUGAAGGGACUUGCUCCUGGAGCCUAGUGUGGUCGCAGAGAAGAGGCCCAAGCGACUGUUAACCAGAAACACAGGUGCCUGCGAAAGAGAAAUCUGAUGUAUAGGUGCUGACACCUGCCCAGUGCUGGAAGGUUAAAGAAGGAUGUCCGGGUUCGACCCAAAGCAUUUGACUGAAGCCCCAGUGAACGGCGGCCGUAACUAUAACGGUCCUAAGGUAGCGAAAUUCCUUGUCGGGUAAGUUCCGACCCGCACGAAAGGUGUAACGACUUGGGCACUGUCUCAACGAGGGACCCGGUGAAAUUGAAGUACCUGUGAAGAUGCAGGUUACCCGCGACUGGACAGAAAGACCCCAUGGAGCUUUACUGUAACCUAAUAUUGGGUUCUGAUAUUCGACGCACAGGAUAGGUGGGAGGCUUGGAGCAUGGUCCUCUGGGAUCAUGGGAGCCGCCGUUGGGAUACCACCCUUCGAAUAUCGGGAUUCUAACCGCAGGAGCAACGAUCCUCGGGACAGUGUUAGGCGGGCAGUUUGACUGGGGCGGUCGCCUCCUAAAGGGUAACGG